AUUGAACGCUGGCGGCAGGCCUAACACAUGCAAGUCGAACGGUAACAGGAAGCAGCUUUCUGCUUUGCUGACGAGUGGCGGACGGGUGAGUAAUGUCUGGGAAACUGCCUGAUGGAGGGGGAUAACUACUGGAAACGGUAGCUAAUACCGCAUAACGUCGCAAGACCAAAGAGGGGGACCUUCGGGCCUCUUGCCAUCGGAUGUGCCCAGAUGGGAUUAGCUAGUAGGUGGGGUAACGGCUCACCUAGGCGACGAUCCCUAGCUGGUCUGAGAGGAUGACCACCCGCACUGGAACUGAGACACGGUCCAGACUACUACGAGAGGCAGCAGACGGGAAUAUUGCACAGUGGGCGCAAGCCUGAUGCAGCCAUGCCGCGUGUAUGAAGAAGGCCUUCGGGUUGUAAAGUACUUUCAGCGGGGAGGAAGGGAGUAAAGUUAAUACCUUUGCUCAUUGACGUUACCCGCAGAAGAAGCACCGGCUAACUCCGUG
rnacentral:rRNA from 1 species